ensembl:lncRNA
UAGUUUCUUGUCUGUUAGGUUCCUCUUGUCUCUCCUCUGAGUUGCCAGUAUGUGUCUGUUGUGUCAUCUAUGUUCAACUCUGUCUCCUUCCAUGUCGCUCGCCUCCUCGUUUCCUGGGUCUCAGUCAUGCCUUUGCAUUUUGUCUCCCCUUGGCUUACAUAUUCCCUCCUUGUGUGUCACUCCUUGUCUCCCCUCUUUGUGUUCAUUUGUAUUCAUUUAUGUUCUCCCUAUUCUUCCCUGUCCCUCACUCGCGCUCUUUCUUUCUCCCUUGACUAUUUCCGUUUUCCCUCUUUGUGUCGCCUUCCUUUGUGUCUCCAGUCAAUCCUGUACUCUUGUGCAUUCCUCCCUCUCGGUCAUGCGUCUUGCGAUGUGCUCAGUGUGUUCAAUUUUGCUUCCCUCUGCGUCAAUAUGUCUGUCCCAGCUGUGUUCCCAUGUGUGUCCACUGCCCUCACCACCGCUGUGUGCAUUUAGUGUGUAGUUUUCUCAUCUACUCCAAUUAUGAACUCGACUACGGCAUGAACACUACAGACAGCAAUCGUUACUGCAACAAGACGCUCUACCUGUUUGGAUUUUGUUGCAUCACCCUGACCUACAUCCUCAUAGGUGUUCUUGUUUUUACAUUUUUUUUUGCUCGCUGCACCAACCAGAUGGAGGUUUACGAUGAUGAGGCUCGGCCACUGCUGUGGCGCUAAUCAUAUGAAUGCAUAUAUGUUUGUGUGUUCCCCACCUCCUCUGAGCCAAGUGGACCAAUACUGAUGAAACAGAUUAGAAUGGUGUCACAAUAAAAAAUGUCAUAUCAAAUAUAUCACACUGUAAUGGACAUAUACUACUACUAAUAAUAAUGACGCUGACUGAAAUAUAAUUAUAAGCAAACAACAGACUAAAUAUUAUAUUAAUAUUUUAAUGUGUGCUUUAUGUAUAUACAGAACUUCAUACAUUUAAUGUUGGUUAAUACAGCAACAUGUAGUUGUUGAUCUUUUGUUAGAGAAAUCUUACAAUUAACAAUUCAUGUUUAAUAUUUUAUCAUAAUUUAUUAAACUCCAUGUACUUUGAAGCUUUAUGAAUACAAACAAAGAUGUUUAUUAUGUAAAUCAUAUGUCGUUCAAUAAGGAGAGAUCAUUAUUACAUUCAUCUGGAAGAAGUGGACAUGAUUUAUUGAGACACAGAAUUCAGUUAAGACACUGAUGACCCAUCACAGCAGAGUAAAUGAUCAUGAUCUUUCCUGUUUAACAAACGUAUAUGAAAUGUGUGAUUUUGUUUAUUUGCCAAUAUCCAUGCUGUUUCUUUUUUGUUUAAUUGUAAACAAACUAAAUAAAUAAAUAAAAGGCUGCCCUUUUUAUUACCCUGUUA